rnacentral:rRNA from 1 species
CCUACGUGAGACUGCAGUGAGGAAUAUUGGUCAAUGGGCCGGAGCCUGAACCAGCCAAGUCGCGUGAAGGAAGAAGGUACUUAGUAUUGUAAACUUCUUUUGUCGGGGAACAAAGGCGGAGACGCGUCUCCGGAUGAGUGUACCCGAAGAAAAAGAAUCGGCUAACUCCGUGCCAGCAGCCGCGGUAAUACGGAGGAUGCGAGCGUUAUCCGGAUUUAUUGGGUUUAAAGGGUGCGCAGUCGGGGUAUCAAGUCAGCGGUAAAAUGUCGUGGCUCAACCCCGGCCGGCCGUUGAAACUGGUUUUCUAGAGUUGGAGAGAAGUAUGAUGAAUUCGUGGUGUAGCGGUGAAAUGCAUAGAUAUCACGAAGAACUCCGAUUGCGAAGGCAGCAUACCGGCUCCAUACUGACGCUGAGGCACGAAAGCGUGGGGAUCGAACAGGAUUAGAUACCCUUGUAGUC